AGUAAUACAUAAGUAACCUGCCCUAGACAGGGGGAUAACUAUUGGAAACGAUAGCUAAGACCGCAUAGGUACGGACACUGCAUGGUGACCGUAUUAAAAGUGCCUCAAAGCACUGGUAGAGGAUGGACUUAUGGCGCACUAGCUGGUUGGCGGGGUAACGGCCCACCAAGGCGACGAUGCGUAGCCGACCUGAGAGGGUGACCGGCCACACUGGGACUGAGACACGGCCCAG
rnacentral:rRNA from 1 species